CAAUUUAGACAGGCAAUGGAGCAGAAAUUUCAUGAUCGGUGACAAAGCUUUCAAAAUGGAUGUUGUUGUUGCAAAAUUAACAGGUGUAAAACCACCAUAAACGGAUUAGGAUAAAUCCCGGCGACAAUGAAAUCCCAUAAAUAAAGAACAAUGAAAGCAAUACAAAAUCGAAAUCGAUCAGCUGAAGAGAAUGGAAGAUUUGAAGAGACCUCUGUUACUAUGGCAUUGAGACCAUUUCCGAUCAGAUUCCUUCCGUAACCACUCUCCGAUGAUCAACCACUCUCUCUCUCUCUCCCUCCCUCCCUCCCUCUCCGUCGGAGUGAAUUUAUUCCACAAUACUCUAAAAUGGGUUUGAUCCAGUGCGACCAAAUCUAUUUUCUCACAAAAAAAUUCACUGAAACCAUCUCCGAUUAUGUACUAAACAGAAUUCGAUUAGCACGAUCUCAGUAAUGAUUUAUCUACUCGACACGACCUACAAAUUGAACAGUUUCGAUCGAAAAACGAACCCCGAAUCAGUUCGCAAUUUACCAAUUACACAUUGCAGUUCGUCCUUCCAAAGAGCACUUCGUUUAAGAACAAAACGGUUUUGAUGCAAUGUGGCCAAGUCUAUUUUCACAAAAAUAAAAACACAUAAAUCAUAUCCGAUUAUGUAUUAAAAAGCAUUCUAUUCGUAUGAUCUUCAUUACAAUCAAUUUUCUUGACAAGCCCUACAACCUGAACAGUUUCGAUCGAUAGAUAAACCCGGCAUGAGUUCACAAUUUUCCAAUUACAAGUUGCAGUCCCUAUAAACACACUUCGCAGGUUCAAGAUGAGAAGUCCCUAUUAAAUCUGGGCGACGCCGUUUUGAGGAACCUCCGUGUUGAACAUGCGAGGUCCCUACAGAAACUGCUCGACGUCGUUUUGAGUAAACUUCAUCUUCCCCAAUCAACCAAACCGAGAAUUUCUCUGACAUCGUCGGUUCUUCUUCUUCUUCUUCUUCUUGCAUUUCGUUAUAUCUCAUCAAUUAAUCUACUUAUGUUCUCACUCCUUCUAUUGGCUCUUACGGAAAAUGCAAGAAAACCGAGAAUUUUUAAACUUUACUUAUGCUUGCAUAUAGCCUGUGUCUACAAUUGGGUUUGCAUGAAGAGUGAAUAUGGGUAACAAGAUACGAAAAAAUGCAUUGUUGUUUCCUUUUUUUUUGGUGUUUGGAUAAACAGCUUGGUGGGUUUUUGAUUUCAUGAGCAAAAUCGAGAGAGCAAGCGACGAGGUUGUUUCCGCGACUCGAUCCGGACCGUUGUGCUCGGGCGGCCCUCAAUAAUUUCGUGCAUGAAGGUACCUCAGUUGUCUUUCUGUUUUACCUUGCUUCACUUGAAUUGAUGCCCCACUACUGAUCACUUGAAGUUAUAUUUUCGGUUUUAAAUGGUAUUUGUCUUCGUUUAAGCAUGUCAUAUUUCUGCUGUUAAUUUAGGAGGGGGUGGAGGUGAAGAUUCUACAACUGCAUGAAACUUAAAAUGUGUGGCAAAUUUUUAAUUUUUCGGUUUCGAUGCAUAAACCUAUGCGCAAACCUACAACCUGUGAGAUAUGCACAAGAAAAUACUUGACAUAGCACAAUACUCUUGUUUAGCUUUUCUGUUGGUAGUUCUGAGGCAGUCCUAAGAAGGGAUGAGCUUUCCCCCGCUGAAGCGUUCUAGGUUCUAGUUUAGAUUUGUGUAAGUAGAAUUCUAAAUCGGUCCUUAGAAAAGACGUGUUUUCCCCUGCGGAAGCAGUUCUGCAUCUAUUCUCCUAAGAGUAAUGGCAUUCCCUUAUGCUUUUUUGAUGCUCUCAGUUGAUUCUGAACUUAAUGAAGAAUUCAGUGCUAGCUUGUUUGUCCAGAGGAGAAUAGGGUGAAGAAUUGAGCCAUUUACGCAGUAGGUUUGCUGACGAGUUACCAGAUAUUUGGGAGAAACUAGUGAUGCAGCGUUAGUUAGAAGUGCAGAUGUUCUCCGGCCAAGAGUGAAGAAAAGAAGCAGUGCAUGGCUUGAAGAAAUUGCAGAGUAGAACUAGAGGGUCCAAAUUUCAUGAAAGCUCAAAAAACUGCAGUCAGCAAAUUUCAUGGAUCCUAUUACAUGCACUCAUCUGAUUUCGAGAUACACUCCCCAGCACAUGCGAAUGCAUUUGAAAGCACUAAGCUUGGUGGGCUCGCACACAAUCAUCUGAAGGAUGUUGAACUCAGUUGAUUUUGCGGAAGCCGGUCUCAGAUUCUGUUUCUUAUGCAGUUGGUGAAGUAUGCUGCUGUGCUUGAACAAUUGAGUUUAACUCUGGAGUCAGGAUUUCAUCGGGAAGGUUGUUAUUGGAGGACUGUGGGGUAUACUGGGUUUCGGCAUGUGGACAUUGAAAGGUUAGUCAAGAAAUUGCAGGAAAGUGCCACCUCCAAGAAGGUAGUGAUAAGUUUUCAUUUGUAAUUAUCCAUUGAGAACUUAUUUCACUAUGAGUCGUUGCUAUUUGCAAAUGAAUAACUGUUAAUGAGACAUGUACUAUUGGGUUUUUAUAACUGUUAAUGAGACAUGUACUAUUGGGUUUUUUUUC